rnacentral:rRNA from 1 species
AACGUAGGACACAAGCGUUAUCCGGAGUUACUGGGCGUAAAGGGCGUGUAGGCGGAUCGGUAAGUCUACUCUGAAAGCUCCUGGCUAAACUGGGAGAGGCGAGUGGAGACUGUCGGUCUAGAGUGAGGAAGAGGAAAGUGGAAUUCCGCGUGUAGUGGUGAAAUGCGUAGAGAUGCGGAGGAACACCAGUGGCGAAAGCGGCUUUCUGGUCCUUAACUGACGCUGAGGCGCGAAAGCUAGGGGAGCAAACGGGG